rnacentral:lncRNA from 1 species
UCUCAUACUAAACAAAAACCUAACGUGCUUGGGGAGCAAAAGCAAGUUCUGGCACUCUCAGGGCACCCAUUAUUGCGUCAAUACCCAUUAUUGCUGUGGGAAGGGAAGUAGAAACAAACUUCUUUUCUUGGGGAAAUGGCAGGGAAGAGUUUUACACAGGGUUCUAUAUUAACAGUGUUGGAGGUCUCAGCACCAUAGGAGAAGAUGGAAAAUCUCUCCCACACAAGACUCACCACAGGUAUAAUGCAGAAAUCGGCCAUCAUCGGGAGGAGGCGUAGGAAUGAUGAGAAACCCCACCUAUGAAGCCCAGGCAUACGGGACCUAAGACACACUGGACCAGGACAGAAGAGGACUGCCUCUGUCCUCUGUCCAUCAGCCAGCAAACAGAAUCUGAAAACCAUGAAGGUUAAGUAACUUCACCAACGUGCCACACCUGCUGAGUAGUGAGUUACUCUUCAAACUCGUGAUGUCCGGCUCCAAAGCCUCAGUUUCUUCCAUUAAACCAUCGUAUUAGGAGGAGUUUAUGCCCUGGAAGAAGUUCAGUCUUAAGGUCCAUUUUCACUUACUCAAAUUAGAUGGAUUGGAGCAUUACACACAUUACAAGAAAAUUUCUGGAGAUUGGAAGUCUGAGAUCAGAUGCCAGCAUGGUUGGGUUCUGGUGACAGCUCUCAUCGUGGUUUGCAAACACCUGUCUUCAUGUUGUAGCCUCACUUCAUGGAGAGAGAGAGUUCUGGUAUAUUGUAAAAAUCUACUCACACAAAUACUAAGCAAAAAAGAUAAGGAACUUGUUAAUCAUGUGGAUUGCAGGGUUUCAUGAAAUCUAAUAAAGUGAUUUUGGAUAACUAAUACAACCAAUGCAAAGCAAUCUACAAGUGAAGACACAAGCAGAGUGAGCGUGGUUAAUGACUGAAGAAGAGAAAUGGAAAAGAAAAGAAAAAAAGAUCUUUCAAGAGAGAAUAAUUUUGAAUAUCAAACAAUGAAGAGCUUUUCAGAAUUUUGAUGAAGAAAAUCCUUGAAAAUUCUUGCAAAAAUGAUACCCCUCCCUUUUAGACUGUUCAUUCAAAAUAUAGUGCUAUCAUUUAAUUUUGCCCAAAAAAUUACCCCCAAGUUAAUACAAUUCAUUCUUUUUAAUUCUAAAAAUUAGCUUAUACUUAUAAUUACAACCAAAAAUACGACAGUUAAAUAACGCUUUUUUAUAAUUUUUCGCUGUAUAUUUCAAAUCAGCCAGUUGGACCAAUCAAGUAUUGUCAAUGUUCAUUAUAAAGUUUUCACCCCACCUUUGGAAACCUCUCUAAAGGUGACUUUUUCUGUACCAAGUGUCCUUCAACAAAGAGGAACCUCCUGGAUCUCAGUGAUUAUGAGGGACACGACCUGGCAAAGGCCUUGUGACUGUUCUGAGAUUCAGUUAUACACUUAUAAAAUCACUGUGUUCUGUUUAAUUAUACUCAUGAAGAAAUACGAACUAUAAAUAUAACUAUAAAAAUAAAUAUAAACUAUAAAUUCCCUAUAAGCUCUAAGAUUGUUAUUGCACAUUUCAAUUUCUUAUAAUGAGUAUCUUAGAUCACUUUCAGGAAACAAGAAAUGUGUCAUUUUGGAAACUUUUGCUUUGUUAAUAUAUUUUUUAAUGCUUUAAGGUUUAAAAAUCAGCUAUCUGAAAAAAACCUCUUGUCUCAUUCCCUCACUAUGUCAGAUGCAUGAUAUGAAGAUUUUUCCAAUUAAAAAAUCCCAAAACACGUUUUCACAUUGUGGAAAACUUGGAAAAUGACAAAUAGGCAAAAUGGAGGAAAAAACUCAUUAUCUUUAUACCCUAAAACAAAGAUGUUUAAGAUUUUAUCACUAUUCCUCUAAUCUUCCAUGUGUAAAUUAUAUCUGAGACACGUUCCCAAGACAUUGACAGCCUUUUAUAAUCAUUUAAUCACAGAUGCAUGUAACAUUCUUUACUAAAUAUUCUUCCCC